CGGAGGAUGCGAGCGUUAUCCGGAUUUAUUGGGUUUAAAGGGUGCGUAGGCGGGCAUUUAAGCCGGCGGGCAAAUGUCGGGGCUCAACCCCCGCCUGCCGUCGGAACUGGGUGCCUUGAGUGGGCGAGAAGUAUGCGGAAUGCGUGGUGUAGCGGUGAAAUGCAUAGAUAUCACGCAGAACCCCGAUUGCGAAGGCAGCAUACCGGCGCCCUACUGACGCUGAGGCACGAAAGUGCGGGUAUCGAA
rnacentral:rRNA from 1 species